AACAAUUAACUCUGAAAAAGGGAAGCUUGGUACUUAUUUUUCUAUAAAAAAUGUUUGAAAAAAGAAAAUUAUUUAGAGGAUUUUAAUAAAAGACAGUCAAUUUGUAAAUUAAGAAUAAGUGCCCACUCUUUGAAAAGGGAGACAGACAGAUAUUGAAAAAAAAUAUAUAGAAAGAUCUGAGCUUCUUUAUUCAAAUUGCUCAAUAUAUAUAUGUUGCCCACUUUAUGAUAUUCAAAAGGAAGAUUUUUUUCAAUACAUUUCUAACGAUUGUUAUAAUUUUAAAAACUGAAAUAAAUCUUCUAAAUUUGUAUGGUUCUUCACCCAAGAAAAUGUAACUCUUAUGGAAAAACUGGGCUGUUAUUUUGGUGACUGUUUUGAUUUAAGGAGAUCAGGUAUGAAUAUUGACAGUAAGUCAAGUAAAUGGUUUUAGAAUGAAUGCAUAUAAUGUAAUUUUAUUCUUUUAUUCACAGUAUAUCAUAUAUGGUUUUUGGCUCUGAUUUUGCCAAUACUAAUAUACUAAACAUAUAUUUUACAUGUACUCUGUGACUUUUAUUGUUGUAGUUACCAAUUAUGUCAAUCAAUUGUAUCUGAUUGUACGCCCUUUAUGGGCCCUGUAAUUCGGGAAAAAAAGAUAUUCUCUUCUAUUGAUAAAGUGUAAAUAAGACAAUAUUUCUCUUAUUUGUUAAAGUCAUUCAUUUCAUUCUUUUCACAUUUUAUUUUUGUAUCAUAGUAAUCAGUAGUGUGUAAUGUAUCUGAUUUCAAAGAGGUUAUAGCCUUUUGUGUUAGUUUAAGUAGGAUUUUAUUAUGUAUAAAAAGGUUGGUGCAUUUUUGGUGCAUAUUUGGUGGCAAUUUAGGUCGGAUAAACAAGUAGAAUUUAUGUCAAAUUCUUGGUGCAUAGUUGGUGCAUUUUUGGUGGCAAUGUGUAUAUAAGGUUCAGAUUUUGUUAUUCUAGGUACAUCUUGGCAGAUCACUGAUAGAUUCGGAAUUACUAUUAUUUCUUUAUAUUUUCUCCGCACAGUAUUGGACACUGAUGCGUGGUUUUAGUCCGCUCAGUAUUGGACACUGAUGCGUGGUUUUUGUCCGCACAGUAUUGGACACUGUUGCUUGGUUUUGUGCACACACAAAAACCACGCAAAGUGUCCAAUACUAUGCGGACAAACCACGCAUAGUGUCCAAUACUAUGCGGACAAAACCACGCAUCAGUUUUCAAUACUAUAAGGACAAAACCACGCAACAGUGUCCAAUACUGUGCGGACAAAAAACAACGCAACAGUGUCCAUUACUGUGCGGACAGUAUUGGACACUGUUUUUUUUUUUAUUUUAUACGGAGUGUAAUGAAAUCUGUUUGUGAUACCAUGUGAAAUAAAUGUGCCACUGAAUCUUUGAACUAUGCAUGUUGUAAACUGUAUAUAAUGUAAAUAGUUUCC
rnacentral:lncRNA from 1 species